CGAAGAACCAGAAAAAGAGUCGCAAGAAACAUCAGAUGAGGCAGAGCAACCAAACACAAUUCCAAUUGCUGAACCUUCAGCUGAGGCCAUUGAGGAAAAGACGACAGAGGAGAUAUUGGAAGAGACCAACAACAGCGAGGUAGAGGCUACAGAAAAUGGAAAGACAGAAUCUUUGAUUACUUCAGUUGAGCCAACAGAAACAGAAAAAGAAGAACCUGUGGUUACUGAAGUUGAACCUACAGAAACAGGAAAAGAAGAACUCGUGGUUACUGAAGUUUCGGAAAAUCAGAAAGAACCAGAACAGCUUUCAACAGAAACCAAUGAUGUCAUUGCUGUAGAAGAAAAAACAAGAGAAUUAGAAUUGGAGGCAGCACCAUUGAAAGAGACUAAAGUCGACGAAGUAGAGCCG
rnacentral:lncRNA from 1 species